CCUCAAUCAUGCUAUGCAAGCUAUCUAAUACUGAGCUGCUUUCAGCCUUUAGUCAUCUAUUUUCAAAUAAAUAUACCCUAUGGGAUCCAAAAAUAAGGACACAGCGGAGCAGGAAGACAAAACACCUUAUCCUUGAACGAUGCCACCAGACAACCGGGAAAUGCACUUCCUACUAUUCCGUGUGAGGAAAAUAAACUUGAACGUUUGAAAACUCACUUCUCGGUUACUAUCUCCUAACUUUAUUGUAAUAUAGCCUUCGAAGCUAUACCAAGCUAUACCAAUACUAGCAAAUGUUUACCUGUACUAAUGUGACUUACAUUAAGCCUAUAGGUAAACAUAAAAUAAAUUGCCAUACCGACUUUAUUUUUAUUUUUGUACUUUGUCCACCGG
rnacentral:lncRNA from 1 species